AGGACGAACGCUGGCGGCGUGCUUAACACAUGCAAGUCAAGGGGGCCCAGCAAUGGGCAACCGGCGAACGGGUGCGUAACACGUGAGCAACCUACCGAACUGUGGGGGAUAGCCGGCCUAACGGCCGAGUAAUACCGCAUACGCUCACAGAGAGGCAUUUCUUUGAGAGGAAACCUACGGGACAGAUCGAGGGGCUCGCGGCCUAUCAGCUAGUUGGCGAGGUAACGCUCACCAAGGCAACGACGGGUAGCUGGUCUGAGAGGAUGGCCAGCCACAUUGGGACUGAGAUACGGCCAGACUCCUACGGGAGGCAGCGAGGUGGGGAAGUCUUGCGCGAAUGGCCUAACGG
rnacentral:rRNA from 1 species